rnacentral:lncRNA from 1 species
AUCUCUAUCUACUUGAUGAUAAGAAUUAGUUAGCACUAAAAGCCAUGGGAAACACACAACAGGUAAUUAUCUCACCAUUUUGAGGAACAAGAAGAAAAUGAGGAAAGGCAAUAACCAAGAUUGAGUGAAUACUUCAUAUAAGCUGUUGUUUUAAUAUAUCUCAUGAAUUCUGCUUGGUUUUAACUAGUUUUUAUCUCUAUCUACUUGAUGAUAAGAAUUAGUUAGCACUAAAAGCCAUGGGAAACACACAGCAGGUAAUUAUCUCACCAUUUUGAGCAUUUUCUGUAAAAGUAUUUGUGCAGAGGACUGUAAUUAACUGAUUAUACUUGAGGUAAUUAUUUAAAUCUUUCUUAUAUAUGGACUUAUCAAUCUGAAUCUGGCGUAUGUAUCAUGUUCAGCCGUUCUGACUGAUCUGUGCAGCAUCAUAGGUAUAACAAUUCAUUUUUUCCCCUCUUUUUGGGGAUAUAAUUUAUGAUCAGCUUCAGUUCUGUAGUUAAUAGAAUGUAAUUUCCUUCAGCCAUCAGAUUAAUUAAGUUCAUAAUUUCUACCAAGACAACCCAAAACAAUAAAUAGAUAUGCAAGAUAUUUGCUCUCUGUUAGUGAAGUGAGAGGAGUUUACAUCAGGCAGCACUGUGUAGUCACAUUAUAAGUGUAAUGCAACACAUUUCUCUUUUUUUUAUUUAUUUUAUUUUUUCAACUGUGGACCUAAUGUACAGGAACCUCAAGAAUCAAGAUUCUCCCCCUGCAAACAAGAACCAUGAUCAUCAAUAUCUAUAAUACUCUAGCAUAACCGGAUAAGCUACAAGAAAUAUUUUUAUUUUUUCUCCUUGUUCUUGGUAUGUACUAAAUAUAUUUUUUCCUUCAAAGGGUAUAGUUGUUUGAUAUUUUAACUAUAUUAGGUUGUUACUCAUGUCCCUAUAACUAUAUUAUUUCUCAAUAUAACACAGCUAUAAAUUAUCUGAUCCUAUAUGAUUUGAAUUUGGAUCAUUUUAAAUAUCAUAAUAGAAAAUGAAGAUAACUAAUAUUUUUGUUUCUAAUUGAAAGAAACAAUCAAUUGAAUGGGAGAUCAACUGUAAGGGAAGGGUUUCAGGUAAUAUGCUUAACAAGAUUUCCCCAAGUUAUUGAAAAGGCUUUCAGUCAUAUGACACAGUUUCUAGCUAUAAAUGGAAGGAAAAAAACCGUAAGAGUAAAAUUUAUUUGAAUGAGUCGAAGGUCAUGUUUGGAGAUCACUUUAUUUUAUUUUUCUUUCAGCCUGGAAGAAAUUUUGUUCCAAUAGCUUUAUGUUGGUGCCAUGCAUGUGGCACGUUUGCAUCCUUCCCUCUUGAAAUUGAUCAUCAAUUUCUUCGUCUCUCAAUGUUUUAUAAGCUCAUAGUGUCUUGGCUCGGCUCGGCUCGUCUCGUCAAGUUUAUCUUUUUAUGCUUUCAUUGAUUGGAUGUUGACAACAUGUCCUUUCCUAAGAUAGUCUUUAAUAUUUUCGUUUCAGUAUAUAAAUACUUCACCUGUGUGUUUGAUAAAAAAAUGAUUAUCCUUAUCUUAUUCAUUCACUAAUUUAGAAAAUUUUGAAAGUUACAAUGCACAAAUUAGAAGAUCUUGUUUGUGUACUGGCACAUGACAAAUGAAAAGGACUCAAGAUAGAUAUGUGUUUCGUGGGAAGCCCCUCGUGAUUUCUAAAGGGUAUAUUAAAAUGAAGAAGUUUUUAUCUUGAAAAGAAGAAGUAAAAAUGUAGUGUUGGGGUUUUGCUUCCUUGGGAAAGUGACGUUGAGAGUUUGGGGUCCUCAGAUUUUGUUAGCUUCCUAUUGUUCUUUUAUAAUUUGUACGAAUAUGUUCUAUUUACUAGGACCCAACUGCUUAUUUAGGUAUAAAAUGGCGAUUAUAGGUAUAUUUUUUCAAAUAAAUUCCAUUUGCCUUGAAAUUUCUUUGUUGUUCCAUAUAUAUAUAUAUAUAUAUAUUUAUUUAUUAUUAUUAUUUUUUUAUUAUUAUUUUUUUAAUCCCAAUCAAUAAGUGAAAAGAUUAUUGAACAUUUCAUUUGUUGAAAGAUAAUCUAAAUAGUUGUUGUGUAAUUUUCUUAUGCUCUAGCUUGUUGUUAAACACCCUCUGGCAUUAAUGUAUUGGUAUACUUCUAACUCACUUAAAUAACACUUAUUUUUGUAUAAUUUUACUCAUACUCAUCAUUAAUCACUUCUUACUAUGAGCUGCAUCAAUAUAUACCAUUCUCUAUCAUAAGGUUUUAAGUUCAAAAUUUGAAAAUCCUUCUGUUAAUUUCUAUUUUUUUUACUCUUCCCUCUUCCUAAAUUCAAGAACAGCUUUUAAAGAUUGAUCUGAUAGGGGUAUGAGUUUGCUGAAAAUCUUAGUCUUAGUAGAAAUUAAAUACACCUUCAAUAGUUCAAUAUAAAUAGCAUACCUAGAUUCUAUAAUUAUGUUCUUUAAAAUUUUUCUAAUUCUAGAGCUAACACCCCAAGCUUUUAUAAAAUUUAUCACGUUGGAUUUUUGUAACUUUUUCAAAAUUUGUAUGGAAUUUUAAUGUUGUCCUUAACUAUCAUUUGGCUCAAUAUAUAUUUAAAAAAACAUAGUUUGGCUUCUGUUCAUUUUCUUCUUCAUUAAAUUAAGAUUACAAUGAACAACAGAUUCCAAUUUCUUGGACGAACUUCACUCUGCUGAUGAUGUUGGUUUCUGUAAAUUUAGUUUUUUGACCCCCUUCUUAUUUCAUUAGGGAUAGUAUCACAAAUUUCAGCACAUUAAUCAGGUCCAAUACUGUCAACAUCUGUAACAUGUUUAUGAUGUUUAAUUUAAUUUAAUUUUCUCAUCAUUCCUGAAUAUAUUUCUGAGAAUAAGUUACUUUUUUAGCUAAAUGAGCUCGUCAGACAACUAAUGAAGAAUUGAAUUUCUUCUGGGUGUGAAAAAUUAUUAGAAUUAUAUAUAUCUUGUGAAUGAAAAAGAAUUGUGCAAUAUUUGUUUGUUUGGUUAACGGUGAAGAUAAAUUAUUGAUGAAUUUUUCUACAAUUGAGAUAAGAUUAUCCAGUUGGGAUUAAAGAAGAGAACGUGGAGAAAGGCCAACAAAGAUGGGGGAGGUGGUCCUAUCUUCAUGUAUUGUCAUCUGUCAAUCCAGGUCAUUGCCCAUGCUACUGCUUUAAUUCAUAGAUGACACUUCUCAAUGCUUUCUUAAUUAUUUUCGGGUUUUCUAUUCGUACCACAUUUUAAUCAUAAUAAAGGUCUUCGUUCUUUGUUUAUUGUAGCAUUAAUGCAUUAUGUCCACAAAUUUUUUCCUCGAAUUCUUAACCUUCUAUUAAUUAAUACAUCUCAUUCUCGUGAUGGUUUCUUUCCAAAUAUUUUGUUCGUGUAUUUCUAAAUGAGAAUCAAAUAUUAAUUUUCCUAUGCUAUGCAUUUAUUGUUUUUCGGCAAAUAACUCUUUUUACACCUUUUUAACAAGCUCUUUGGACGAAAAAAAUAUAAUCAGAAAUGAGAUGCAUUAGUUUAUGAAUGGUUGAAAUUAAAAAUGCGAUGAAGAAAAGUAGGGGAUAUAAUUGUUACACCUUUAAAGCGAUUAAAGUAUAGUGCAAUAUGAGAAAACUAUGGUGCUAAUAUAACUAUCCUUCGUUUCCUUCCACAAGACUCUUUAUUUUAACUUUUUAAAAUAGAGAGUAAGUUUGUCAGUCCAAAAAUUUAGAGAGUUAAAAUCACUCCCUAUUCUUAAUGUACAAUGAUUGUAUUUAAUAAAUCACAAAUUUCAAUAUUCCACUUCUUAAACUAUUCAGACCACAUUUAAAUUGAUU